AAGAUACAAAGUCGAAGGACAAUAGUUCUCAGCUAUACGAAUCAAUGAAGACGCCUGUAAAAGAAAAUACUUCAAAGUUAGACCACAGCAGGAAAAUAAAAGAUAAGAAAUCAAAAGAUAACAGUACUCAGCUAUACGAAUCGAUGACGACGCCACCACAAGAGGCUAGCAAAGCUGCGAAAAACGAAAGUAUAGACAUGUAUUCAAGUGUUAUAUAGACUUAAAUCAAAUUAUUAUAGUUCCUAUUUUAUUUAGACCUGAUAUUAUGCUCGAAUCUCAUUGAUCAAUCAUACAUCAACGGAUCAUUAAUUCAGGUUUUUUGCAACUAUAAUCGUCAAAAACUCUUCUACUAACAAGCAAACUUUUGUAUUUGAUUAUCUGUACCAAUCAUCC